rnacentral:misc_RNA from 1 species
CUGAGUGCACAAGUGCAAUAUAUCGCACAGGUCUGGCGCCACUUUUCCUCUCGCGCUUCCCUAUUACGCUAGUGUCGUCUGGUGGGGAACGGCGACAACUCUAUUUCUGUCAACACCAUUCUGCAUGCAAAAGGACUAAUGUACUACAUCUUCUAAAUCCCUAAAAACUCAGUGAAGAUGAGACUAAGGUUACAAGAAUUACACCAUUCCCCCCUAAGUCUCAGGAAUACAUAGACAUUUGCAGCAGUGUGUACGUGGAAAGAUUAUUAUACCCCAUGCUUCAAUUGAAUGGAUUACCAGCAUAUUUUCUGAAUAUAUGGAGUGGUAGCAUAGCAUAUACUAAAUUCAAAGAUGCAACACGAAGAAGAAGCUGUGCAUUUGUGGAAUUUUGUGAUUCCGAGUCAGCUGCCAAAGCUGUCACAGAAUAUGCAGCCUCCAGCGAGUAUCAUGUAUUGACUGAAGAUCCAGGGCAGUCAUGUAGUAUUCAGGUGUUUGAUGCAGAGAGCCAAGACGAAAAGAGGGACAAGAAGAAAACGAGCACACAACUAGACACGGAAGAACCCUGGAAGAACCUCUAGACACUGUAGUUCCAUGGUGCGGCAUGCUCAAGAAAAUGCUAAAUGCUACAAUGAGAAAUACAAAUUCGUUAAGACACUUAACAUGCCUGUAGUGUAUCCAUGUAAUACAUAAUAAAAGACAACAAUAAAAGAUAUAAAUUUUAAAUAAUGAGAA